AUUGAACGCUGGCGGCAGGCCUUACACAUGCAAGUCGGACGAGUGGCGAACGGGUGAGUAACAUCUCGGAAAGUACCGAGUAAUGGGGGAUAACUAAUCGAAAGAUUAGCUAAUACCGCAUAUUAUUCGAGCGGCCGAUAUCGGAUUAGCUGGUUGGUGGGGUAAAGGCCUACCAAGGCGACGAUCAGUAGCGGGUCUGAGAGGAUGAUCCGCCACACUGGAACUGAGACACGGCCCAGACUCCUACGGGAGGCAGCAGUGGGGAAUAUUGGACAAUGGGCGCAAGCCUGAUGCAGCCAUGCCGCGUGUCUGAAGAAGGCCUUCGGGUUGUAAAGUACUUUUGGCAGGGAAGCGGUACCAGAAGAAUAAGCACCGGCUAACUACGUGCCAGCAGCCGCGGUAAUAC
rnacentral:rRNA from 1 species